rnacentral:lncRNA from 1 species
UGUAAUAAUCCAUCGAGUUUUUUAUGUUAAAUUUUGACCUGUUGAUGGUUAGGUCACUGAGAAACAAACUCCGCUAUAUCCUUCUUCAUUCCGUCCCACUAAUAUAUUCCCCUGAUAUCAUGAUACAUCUUUGUUGCUCCUGGAUGGAUAAAAUAAUGAGAAUAGUAAGUUUCUCCCAUAACCUGUCAGCAGCCCUGCAACAUUAGGGACACAUAACAGUUCUCGAUAUCAGAAGACCCCAUCUCCUGAGAUUUCAAAUGGUGUCUUCUUCUGAGGGGUUGUGUCCCUAUAAUGAACUAACACAGGGUCCUCAUACUACAUUCCUUCACUUCAGUUACUAAAGAGGAUGUUUCCAUAUCCUGAAUAGUAACUCCAAUAUCAUCUGAGUCCAGUAACCAAACUCCAAGACUAGCUAGUUGAUGUAUUUCAUGGGCUAUUUGUUAUACCCCAAAUUUUCGUACAUGAAAGUAUGCCAUAAAUAAAUUGAUGAAAGCUCGAAAAUGAGAUGUUAC